UACAGAGGUCCCAAGCGUUGUUCGGAUUCACUGGGCGUAAAGGGUGCGUAGGCGGUCGGGUAAGUCUGACGUGAAAUCUUCAAGCUCAACUUGGAAACUGCGUCGGAUACUAUUCGGCUAGAGGAAUGGAGGGGAGACUGGAAUACUUGGUGUAGCAGUGAAAUGCGUAGAUAUCAAGUGGAACACCAGUGGCGAAGGCGGCUACCUGGACAGAAACUGACGCUGAGGCGCGAAAGCUAGGGGAGCAAACAGG
rnacentral:rRNA from 1 species